CCCUUAGAUGUUCUGGGCGGCCCGCGCACUACAAUGGCGUGUGCAGCGAGUGCCGAAGUAGAGUUUUCCGAGGUAUUCUUGCAAUGCUCGUUUUGAUGGGGAUAGACCCUUGCAACUGUUGGUUUUGAACGAGGAAUUCCUUGUAAGCAUGGUUUAUCAUCCCGCGCUGAAUACGUCCCUGCCCUUUGUACACACCGCCCGUCGCUCCUACCGAUUGAGUGGUCCGGUGAGGCUUUGGGAUCUGAGCGGAAAGAGCGUUUCGCUGUUUCUGCUCGGAAAACUCAGUCGAACCUUAUCAUUUAGAGGAAGGAGAAGUCGUAACA
rnacentral:rRNA from 1 species